UCAAAUUAAAACCUCAAGUUUUUGCUCUCAUACCGCGAUCUAAUUAUCCAGUUAUUGUAGUCUUUAAUUAGUUUCCUGUUAAUAGCUCCGAUAAUUAUCUAAUUUGCGACACGCUGGCUUCCCAUGUCCUUCUCGAGAUAUAAAAGGAUCGUGAGAUUUUUCUCUGAUAUAUUCUUCAGGCUUCACAUUCGCCGGACUGAAUUAUGGGAAAAUUUCAGUUUCUCUUCACACUAAGCCUGCUGUUGCUGGCCACGGCAGCGACAGCAGCCGACGACGUCACCACAACCACCGAAGCUCCGCUGACCACUGCCACCAUCGCCAGCACAGCAUCAGACGCCGUUGGUGCUACCACCAAUAAUACUGCCACAGAUGUGCCCGCGGCUAGUAGAUAGAUUUUAAAAAAACUAGAGAAAACAUGGUACUAACCGCAAACUCGCUGAAGACAAUUUAUUCUUAUUUUAUCAGGCGCUAAUGAAAGUAUAAAUUCGUCCUUAUCACUUUUCUAAUUUUACAUUUCAUGAGAUGUCUCCCAUACAUACAUAUAACUAACAUUAUUGCUAUAUGUAUGUCUAUGUAUGCUAUAAGUAUAUCUACUUAUAUCAAUAAUAUUUGACAAAGAAUAUGUUAAAUGGAAUACCACCUUUUUCGGUUUAGGUACAACCUGUGAAGUAAAACAAAGGAGUCAAAAAUCGAAUCAUUUUGUCAUAAAUUUGAUCUGCACAGCUACUUUUUCGCGUCAUUUUCUAAAACAAUAGGUAUUCAUCCAAACUAUAAACUUAGCAUAAGUACCUAUAUAUCGGAAUGAUUAUAGGAUAUGGUGUGUAAAAGAGUAUAAUAAUUGGAAAGCUUUAGAUAGGUAGGUACCUACUCAAAAACUAUGUUAAUAAAAGUAACGUACCUACUUAUAUAUCAGAAGAAGAAAUUAUUUAUUUUAAAAAAGUAAAGGAAGGUAAAUUUAAAAGUAAAUGAAUGGUUCUUUAAAGGAAUUACUGGACAUAUAAACAAACAGACACGUUGAGGACAUCAUUUGUUUAGUGAGUUUGCAACAUUGUGCCAUAGAAAAAUCAAUUAAAUAAUUAUACAAA